GAUGAACGCUGGCGGCGUGCCUAAUGCAUGCAAGUCGAGCGAACGGACGAGAAGCUUGCUUCUCUGAUGUUAGCGGCGGACGGGUGAGUAACACGUGGAUAACCUACCUAUAAGACUGGGAUAACUUCGGGAAACCGGAGCUAAUACCGGAUGAUAUUUUGAACCGCAUGGUUCAAAAGUGAAAGACGGUCUUGCUGUCACUUAUAGAUGGAUCCGCGCUGCAUUAGCUAGUUGGUAAGGUAACGGCUUACCAAGGCAACGAUGCAUAGCCGACCUGAGAGGGUGAUCAGCCACACUGGAACUGAGACACGGUCCAGACUCCUACGGGAGGCAGCAGUAGGGAAUCUUCCGCAAUGGGCGAAAGCCUGACGGAGCAACGCCGCGUGAGUGAUGAAGGUCUUCGGAUCGUAAAACUCUGUUAUUAGGGAAGAACAUAUGUGUAAGUAACUGUGCACAUCUUGACGUUACCUAAUCAGAAAGCCACGACUAACUACGUG
rnacentral:rRNA from 1 species